rnacentral:rRNA from 1 species
UGGGAUUAGAUACCCCACUAUGCUCAGCCCUAAAAUUUGAUAGGUCCUUACACACCUAUCCGCCUGGGAACUACGAGCAUCAGCUUAAAACCCAAAGGACUUGGCGGUGCUUCAUAUCCGUCUAGAGGAGCCUGUUCUAUAACCGAUAACCCCCGUUAAACCUCACCCUCUCUUGUCAACACCGCCUAUAUACCGCCGUCGUCAGCCCACCCUGUGAAGGACCAGAAGUGAGCGAGAUUGGUAAAACCCAAAACGUCAGGUCGAGGUGUAGCGUAUGAGAGGGGAAGAAAUGGGCUACAUUUCCUAAUUUAGGAAAUACGAACAAUGUACUGAAAUAAACAUUAGAAGGUGGAUUUAGCAGUAAGCAGAUAAACAGA